GCCCGGGUGGUGGAAUUGGUAGACACAAGGGACUUAAAAUCCCUCGCCAGCAAUGGCGUGCCGGUUCAAGUCCGGCCUCGGGUACCA
rnacentral:tRNA from 1 species